rnacentral:lncRNA from 10 species
CGAGGUCUUUAAAAGCAGAGCGUUUACUCUAGUUGGUUGCAGUCAGAGAGACACGCUUAGGUGGCUCAGAGGAAAGCCGGUAUCCAUGUUCUCGAUGGUGCAUGUAGGCCACAUGGAAAGAAACUGAAGGAGACGUCUAGAAGAAUAGAGUGGUCCCUGGCCAACAGCUAAAAAAAAAAAAAAAAACAAAACACUAAAACGGCAAAUAAGUUGGGACCUCAGCCCUACAACCACAAAGAAAGAAAUUCUGCCAAAACACACAGAGGACCUCCAGCCUUCGAUGAGAACCAUAACCCUAUCAAAAACCUUGAUUUCAGCUAGUGAGACCCUGAGUAGGAACUCCGGCCAAGCUGCACCCUGGAUUCUAACCUACAGAAAGUUUAAGGCUGGAUUUGUGGAUUCACUUGCAAAGAAAAGAUGAGAGAAAGAGGACCACAAAUAACUUUACAGUGGAAAAAAGGGCAGAUCUACCAAGAGAUCAAGGCUGACAUCACAGGAAGGAUAGAGAAAAUAGAAGAUAUCGAGAGGAAAGAGCAAAAAGUUUUGCUUUUUUAUUCUGAGAAAGUAAUGCAUAUUUCUGCUCAUGAAUCAGAAUUUCCAAGUAAUCCAGACAGUGAGCCUCCACUGAGAACAAAGAAGAUCUUCAAAGCCACCAGUCAGCCAAAGAGGUCAUAAGUGAGAACCUCUCAGUGAGAUGCCAGGACUUCUGGAGAGAACUCCUACUAGAAUUCCUCAGAAUCAGCACAGCAAUGUUUUGCCCAGGCCCCCUUCCCUGCCCUGGUAAGACUGGAGUUGCUUCACCCUGGCCAUUAAAUUGGAAAUAAAAUGUCUUUGCGUAGAUGAUACCUGUUAGCCUGAUGGAAGAACUUCUUGUAUUAUGUUUUUUUUUUCUAAUUUAGUUAGAAAAGUACCUUAAUCAGAAUUCAAAGAUGCAUAAGCGUACUGUCUUUAAAAUUGUCACAUUGGUAAGUUAUGUAGAUUUUUAAAAACAUUACUGCCAUUUAUCAAGGCACUUGGAGAGUAUGUCCUUUAGAAUUAUAUUCCAAGUCCUUUCAAAGCUACAUUCAUUCCUUAGCCUAUUCUCAAAACAAAUUGGAGAGGAUAGGCUUACAGCAUAACCUCCUAGAAUAGGCAAAGACACCUACAAAUACUUAUUAAGCUACCUCUUGUCUUUCCAAACUUGCUUACAGUCAGAAAGUCUAACCUAUUUAGAAAGUAAGUCCAUUCAGUUUUAUGUGUGAGAAUGGUAACAGUCUAAUCACUUCCAUUCUUUGGAUACUAAUGACUUUGGGAUAUUUCCAAAACCAGAUGUACUUUCAAAAAAUGGCUAUUUGAAAUUACUUAGUAAUGCCUAGUGAAUUAGCUUUUUCUACUUAAAGGUAGACUUCAGCUCUUCAACAAUACCUACAAAAUCACAUAGGUCUUCUUGGUAUAUGCAAAUUUUUUUGUUCCUUCUUUGUAACUGUACGUAAAGAUGGAUUCUCAAUAUUAAUGGGGAUAUUCACAUCUCUGAAUUACUGGAACCAAUAUUUUUCUAAUUGAUAUAAAGCUAGAUAUUUUCAAAUUUUAUUAGAUGUUAUUGUCAGGUGCUAAGUCAAUUGUGUAAUAUAUUAUUAAACAAUGUAAAGAAGUUUCUCAACAUGUUACCUAUUUCAAUAAAAAUAAUUUUUGCAACAGCAUAUGGUUUUGAAUUAAAAAUAGAAAAUAA